GAAGCAAUAGAAGCCCAUGAUUUUGGCCUCCAAAAUAAUAACUUUAUUUUUGGCCAAUUUCUUAAAAAACAUCUGUUAGCUUUACAUUAACAACGUAAAAUUUGGUAGCUAACCAAAAAAUAUAAUUUCAUAUAUUAAUUGAUAAACCUAGAUAUAGGCUUUGAAACAUCUACAUUUUGACAAAAAAAAAGAAACACCUACCAUUAUUCAAUAGGGUCAAUUGGUGAAGUAACUAUAUUGGAAACAAAAUUAACAAAAUAGAUAUACAUUGGAAGUGUGAAAUUUUAACACACACUUGGAUCUUUCUCUUCCGCAUGCGCGUGGGCAUAUGCUAUUCUAUUUUCGUGUAUAACAUAGAACAAACCAAACACAGUAAGAGAGAAAAAGAUAGAAGGAGAGGGAGAGAUAGAGAGUAAGAGAAAUAUUGUAACUUAUAUUAGAAUGUUAAGGACAUAAUAAAAAAGAGUGAAGAGUUAGGAGUGAGAUGGAGAAGAAGUAGAAAGAAAAAGAACAAUGAGAUGGAAGAAAAAAGCUAAAGAAAAAUAAGGAAGAAAAAAAUGAGUAAUCAGUGAAAAAAAUUUAAAGGAAGAGCAGAGGAGAGAAGGGUAACAAAAAAGAUGAAGAGGAAGAAGAUGAAAAAAAUGUGAAGAAGAACAAAAAAGAAGAGGAGGAUGAUAUAAUUGUAACAUACUAUAUUGUGCCAC
rnacentral:lncRNA from 1 species